GAAAGUGGAAGUAGGUCUUCAUCCCUUGUGCUUGUCGCAGGCGUGUGAGCGGCACGAAAGAGUCUUUGCAGCCCAAGGACUUGGUCUGGCUGGAUUCCUGUGACAGGCACAGGAAUGAGGGA
rnacentral:sRNA from 1 species